UGAAAAAUAUUUUUAUAAACUUUAAAUGUAUUCAACGUGUUGUAGGAAUGUAGAAAUAUUGUAAGUUAUUAUUCUAAGCAUAUCCAGACAUCGAGAGGCCUACCCAGAUAGAUUACUAUCAUAAUGUAAUUUAUACACAUACUGUAAUUUACACACAUAUGGUUUUAAGUCAAGAAUGAUGGAUGGAGACUUGUGGAUCCUGCUUAUAAUAACCUUUGACCUAGCCUUGUAAGCCUGAAUUCCUGUGAAGGUUCACAUUUCUAUAGGCAAUCAUUCAUUCCAUCAUGUAAUUAGAAGUCUCAAGAAGGUCUUUGUGUGUAACUUACCAAAACAUCAUAACGUAUGGCUUUAAUCAUAGAUAUCGAAUAAUACUAAGUUACCACCUAUUUUUUCUUAGAUAACCAAUUAUUGUAAAGCAGGCAAACCUUAUGUCAUUAUGUAUACGCCCUAUGUAAUUGAAUUUUAAAUGUAUAAAAUACCUUUUGCAGCUAGAAUAUUCCACCAAUACCAAUAGUAACACCAACGACCAAUACCUUUUAACAUCAAGCUUGGAUAAGAUCUAGAAGUGAAUAUACAUUGUCUAUUGGUCCAUAUGAUUUUAAAACAGACUUUUGUUGUUACCGGAUGAUGUGUAUAUUGUAAUAAAUAUACGGUUUUAACUGCAAGACACUCUGAUUCGAUUUGUUCAGAAAACUGGAAAACAAAUAUCUCACGGAAUGCAAAUUUCCUACAUUUAAUGGUGGAGAAUGCGGGCAACUUGGAUUUAAGUCAGAAGGCAACUUUGAGUUAAGUCUGAAUUAUUACUGACUUAAUAUUUAAGUGUUCUGCUACAAACUACAAGAAGACAAGAAGAUAAGAAAAUCGCUGAAGAAAAGUUGAAAGUGUUCUCUGAAGAAAAGCUGUAGUACCC